rnacentral:rRNA from 1 species
UACCUGAUUGAUCCUGCCAUGAUCCAAUGCCUUGUCUCAUGCCUUGUCUCAA